rnacentral:rRNA from 1 species
CCUACGGUAGGCAGCAGUGAGGAAUAUUGGUCAAUGUGCGCGAGCCUGAACCAGCCAAGUAGCGUGAAGGAUGACUGCCCUACGGGUUUUAAACUUCUUUUAUAAAGGAAUACAGUGAGGCACGUGUGCCUUUUUGUAUGUACUUUAUGAAUAAGGAUCGGCUCACUCCGUGCCAGCAGCCGCGGUAAUACGGAGGAUCCAAGCGUUAUCCGGAUUUAUUGGGUUUAAAGGGAGCGUAGAUGGGUUGUUAAGUCAGUUGUGAAAGUUUGCAGUUCAACCUUAAAAUUGCAAUUGAUACUGGCAGCCUUGAGGACAGUUGAGGUAGGCGGAAUUCGUGGUGUAGCGGUGAAAUGCUUAGAUAUCACGAAGAACUCCGAUUGCGAAGGCAGCCUACUAAACUGCCACUGACAUUGAUGCUCGAAAGUGUGGGUAUCAAACAGGAUUAGAUACCCGGGUAGUC